rnacentral:rRNA from 1 species
AACGAACGCUGGCGGCAGGCUUAACACAUGCAAGUCGAACGAGUGUAGCAAUACACUAGUGGCGCACGGGUGCGUAACGCGUGGGAACCUUCCUCGUAGUUCGGAAUAACUCAGGGAAACUUGGGCUAAUACCGAAUGCCUCCUUCGGGAGAAAGAUUUAUCGCUACGAGAUGGGCCCGCGUCAGAUUAGGUAGUUGGUAGGGUAAUGGCCUACCAAGCCGACGAUCUGUAGCUGGUCNGAGAGGAUGAUCAGCCACACUGGGACUGAGACACGGCCCAGACUCCUACGGGAGGCAGCAGUGGGGAAUAUUGGACAAUGGGGGCAACCCUGAUCCAGCCACGCCGCGUGAGUGAAGAAGGCC